UACGGAGGGAGCUAGCGUUAUUCGGAAUUACUGGGCGUAAAGCGCACGUAGGCGGCUUUGUAAGUUAGAGGUGAAAGCCUGGAGCUCAACUCCAGAACUGCCUUUAAGACUGCAUCGCUUGAAUCCAGGAGAGGUGAGUGGAAUUCCGAGUGUAGAGGUGAAAUUCGUAGAUAUUCGGAAGAAACACCAGUGGCGAAGGCGGCUCACUGGACUGGUAUUGACGCUGAGGUGGCGAAAAGCGUGGGGAGCAAACAGG
rnacentral:rRNA from 1 species